GAUGCAUAUCGUACGUGGACUUGGUCAGGGCCGAUGCAUACCGUACGUGGACUUGGUCAGGGCCGAUGCAUACCGUACAUGGACUUGGUCACAGGGCUGAUGCAUACCGUACAUGGACUUGGUCACAGGGCUGAUGCAUACCGUACAUGGACUUGGUCAGGGCCGAUGCAUACCGUACAUGGACUUGGUCAGGGCCGAUGCAUACCGUACGUGGACUUGGUCAGGGCCGAUGCAUACCGUACGUGGACUUGGUCAGAGCCGAUGCAUACCGUACGUGGACUUGGUCUGGGCCGAUGCAUACCGUACAUGGACUUGGUCACAGGGCCGAUGCAUACCGUACAUGGACUUGGUCACAGGGCCGAUGCAUACCGUACAUGGACUUGGUCACAGGGCUGAUGCAUACCGUACAUGGACUUGGUCACAGGGCCGAUGCAUACCGUACAUGGACUUGGUCAGGGCCGAUGCAUACCGUACAUGGACUUGGUCAGGGCCGAUGCAUACCGUUCGUGGACUUGGUCAGGGCCGAUGCAUACCGUACAUGGACUUGGUCACAGGGCCGAUGCAUACCGUACGUGGACUUGGUCAGGGCUGAUGCAUACCGUACGUGGACUUGGUCACAGGGCCGAUGCAUACCGUACGUGGACUUGGUCAGGGCUGAUGCAUACCGUACAUGGACUUGGUCAGGGCCGAUGCAUACCGUACAUGGACUUGGUCACAGGGCUGAUGCAUACCGUACGUGGACUUGGUCAGGGCCGAUGCAUACCGUACAUGUACUUGGUCACAGGGCUGAUGCAUACCGUACAUGGACUUGGUCACAGGGCCGAUGCAUACCGUACGUGGACUUGGUCAGGGCUGAUGCAUACCGUACAUGGACUUGGUCAGGGCCGAUGCAUACCGUACAUGGACUUGGUCAGGGCCGAUGCAUACCAUACAUGGACUUGGUCACAGGGCUGAUGCAUACCGUACGUGGACUUGGUCACAGGGCUGAUGCAUACCGUACGUGGACUUGGUCACAGGGCCGAUGCAUACCGUACGUGGACUUGGUCAGGGCCGAUGCAUACCGUACAUGGACUUGGUCACAGGGCUGAUGCAUACCGUAUGUGGACUUGGUCAGGGCCGAUGCAUACCGUACAUGGACUUGGUCACAGGGCUGAUGCAUACCGUACAUGGACUUGGUCAGGGCCGAUGCAUACCGUACAUGGACUUGGUCAAGGCUGAUGCAUACCGUACAUGGACUUGGUCAGGGCCGAUGCAUACCGUAGGUGGACUUGGUCAGGGCCGAUGCAUACCGUACAUGGACUUGGUCACAGGGCUGAUGCAUACCGUACAUGGACUUGGUCACAGGGCUGAUGCAUACCGUACAUGGACUUGGUCACAGGGCCGAUGCAUACCGUACAUGGACUUGGUCAGGGCUGAUGCAUACCGUACAUGGACUUGGUCAGGGCUGAUGCAUACCGUACGUGGACUUGGUCAGGGCCGAUGCAUACCGUACAUGGACUUGGUCAGGGCUGAUGCAUACCGUACAUGGACUUUGUCACAGGCCGAUGCAUACCGUACAUGGACUUGGUCAGGGCUGAUGCAUACCGUACGUGGACUUGGUCAGGGCCGAUGCAUACCGUACAUGGACUUGGCCAGGGCUGAUGCAUACCGUACGUGGACUUUGUCAGGGCCGAUGCAUACCGUACAUGGACUUGGUCAGGGCUGAUGCAUACCGUACGUGGACUUGGUCAGGGCCGAUGCAUACCGUACAUGGACUUGGUCAGGGCCGAUGCAUACUGUACAUGGACUUGGUCAGGGCUGAUGCAUACCGUACGUGGACUUGGUCAGGGCUGAUGCAUACCGUACAUGGACUUGGUCAGGGCUGAUGCAUACCGUACGUGGACUUUGUUAAUAAUGAACUGCUACAAAACAAUAAUAGAGAGAACUUGUCUGUAUGCAGCCAUGUGAAUGUAAAAUAUUUCUGAGGGUUUUAUUACAACUAUUGAUGAAAAAAUGGUGAUGUUGUUCACGUGACUCAGUGAAGUAACUUGUAUUUGUUUUCAAAAGCAUUAAAUGAUUUCAAUAGUCAA
rnacentral:lncRNA from 1 species